CUCCCGCAGCCCCGCGGGUCCCUCGCAUCCUUCGCCUGGGCGAGCAGCGGGGCCCCCUCGGCUGAGCGGUAAAACCCGGUGCUGCUGAGGGAAAACCCCGCUAAGGCUGAGGAAAUGAGCUCAAGGGCAGUUUGAGAGCUGGUUGCUUUGGUGGAGAAGUCACAUCCCCUCCUUUUAGUGCAGGUACAGAACCCUCUCAACAUUACUAAUCCUGCAAAGGAUACCUAGUUGUUGUCCCACUCAGCUUCUUGACUCAGCUUUUGGCAUAACGGAGGGCGUGGGACUGUGUCAGACUCGAUUUAAAGUGAUGUAAGCUGUUGUCAAACUACUUUCAAAAUUGCUAAUUUUCAGGCAGCUAAGUUCCCUGGUCCAGCUCACACUGAGGAACCUGGAGCACUGGUUAAAAGCUCAUGGCCACUGAAGUAUAACUAAUAGAUGUGAUAUAGUUUUGCCUCUCAUCUCUCAAAAUGCCUCUUCAUAUGUUUAAAAAUAGACCUCCCCUAAAUUUUUUUACCCAUAGACAAAGCGAUUUCGGUUCACGUCAAUCCUUCCUUGUGUGACAUGGUUUUAAACCUCUUAAGAUGCUUAUUUCUUGGCUCUGUGUUGUCUCAAAAUCAUUCACAUCUUUUUUUUUGAAGUGUAGCACCCAAGCCUGGACACUGCUACAACUGAGGCCUCAACAGUGCCAGCAUCUGCUGUCCUGCCUGUCACAGACCACAUUCCUGUGUACAUGUGCCAACACAAAUACUUGGGAGUCAGUCUGAUCUAUCCACAGUCUUGCUGACCUGUCUUACCCCCGCAUCCAUUUCUGCUGACCUACCAAGCCAGUUAUUUCUCCCUCAAGUAGACAGUAAUGCUGCUUGAGAAAUUACUUCCUGCAGCAGCCCUAAUGCUAUGCCUUCAGUUUUAUUGCUGGAUAAUCAAGCAGUCAAAACACACUUUGGAAUAAAAUUCCACAUGAUGUUAAGUCAGAAAACUUGUAGAAUUUGCCAUCCUUUGUAAUCGAUUGCAUUUCUCGCAAGGAUUGUAUUUGAAAAAGCAGAACUUAGAUUGAACUGUGCCAUGGUUACAGAAAGGUUGUGUAACUAAAUUUAGAAGAGAGAUUUUUACAUGUUUUUAAAUAUUCUAAACUUGAAAUUCACUUAAACUAAAGGAGCUAAAAUAAUGUAAAUGUUAGCAAGGACUGAUAAUGAAGAAUGUAGGUCAAGGACAGGGUGUUGUUACACCAAUAAAAGGUAAAAUAUGGUAGAAACAGUGUAACUUCUCAUCAGUGAGGGACAGAACCUGCAGACAAACAUGUUUUGCUGUUAUAUGCACUUAAUUCUGUUAGUUGUGUUUUUCAGUGACAUACUUUCAUUCUCAGUUUUGUUCACUGUCCUGUGUGCUGCUUUUGAUCUGCACAGUGCAAUGAGCAGCUCAGAAAGUUAUUGCCAGCAUACUCUGCAGAAGGGAAGUUCUAGCACAGCCUGAUGGCUACACUGGCACUUCAGGUGCAGUUGAGCAAGUCAUUUUACAUGAUUGUGCUUCAGUCUUCCCAGUAUGAGAAGAAAUCCAUCUUUGUGAAACACUAAAAAUCUAAAAUUGAAGCCUGUGAUGUGGGUAUCUAUUAAAAUAAGUGCCACAGAAGGGAUAAAAAUCAACGCUGCUGUCCAAGUCCUGUGCACACAGAGGUUUUUACUCCUCAUUCUGCCUUUGUAUAACAGCUACAGAAUUAGUUCUUCCAUACAGCUGAGCAAGCUGGUAAAUAAUGCAUUCAGCUGGUUUAUUUCUUAGAUGGUCAACACAUGGUAUGUUUGGUCCAUUUUGCUUGUGUAAAGCAUUUUUAUGAUGCGUUUUACAUCAGGUGAUGUUUGGAUGGUAACAAUUCGAGAAAAAUACAGGCUUUGUCAGUGAAUAAACAGAAAUCUUACCUUUUCUGUUUCACUUGGCCAUCAGAUUUUGCAGAGUAGGCUUCCCACUUAUUUCCAGAUCGCUUUCUUUUUCCUCCUUUAAUCUGUGAAGUCCUCAUCUGUGAGGAGAUUUAAGAGCACAAUAUAAGAUAUGAGUGUAAAACUGCUGAUAUUUCAAAGGGGCACUUGUCCUUCUCCUACUCUCUGUAUGGUCUGCAUUUUGUAAAAGUUGUUACUUUAAAAGAAAUGGAUGAGUGAAUUCCAAGCAGAGAUGGAGAAGAACUAAGUACAACAGGUGUUUUACAUAGAUGUGUAUCUCUAUAUGUUUAUAUAUGUGUUUGUAUAAAUACGUAUAAUACCAAUUUGCAAGAAUAAAAAUUGACUUUCAUCAGAUAAAGUUCACAUGACCAACAUCUCCCAUACAAGUGUGUGGGCAUAUAUAUGAAAAUAUGUGCACAGUCAGUACCUGCAGCCCUUCCUGGAGAUUUACAAGCAAUAACAAGUUCUUUUGAUCAGUGUUUCUCCACUGCUGUCAAAGGUACAAGACAAGCCUAUCCUUUUCAAAAGUGGCACUGCCUUACUCUCCCACAAAAGGGCUUUUUAAAAAAUAGCUGGAGAGGAAUUUUCAGGGCCAGCUCCUCGCCAGUUCGGCACUGUGCUGUUUAGCGCCCAGACAGUCAGAACAGCAGUCAAGAGUCCUCCAAAACAGAGAUGUUUGUACCAGUGACUCAGAUUUGUGCCACUUCGCGUUUUUUUUGUGUGUGUGUGAUUGAAGUUCCGCAAUAGACCAUCUGUUAUGGCCACCCAGGCAGGAGUAGGGAGCUCUCAUCCACACUGGCAUUCUGCUCUCCACAUAGCAGCUUAUCAAACGGGAUUGCUAAGGAGGUACCCCUGUGGAAGUCCUGCUCUGCUGGGUGAUAAACAUAAACGGAUCUGGCUGGAGCUUGUAAACGUCUCACAUGGCACAUCUGACAUGUAUUUGUCUACAGGAAGGGUCACAUAAUGCUCCAUAAAGGAUCUCCGAUAUGUCAAAAGGAGCAUUAUUGGGGGUACCAUGGGAUUAGUUCAGAUAUUCCCUGUUCCAAUACCAGUAAGCAAGAAAAGACUUGCUCUCCCCAGAGAACUAAUUAUUCAGACCGGCAGGAAAAAGACCAGAAAGAGAAAGCGUUAUGGAGGAAGCAGCAGAGCUGUUUGAAGAGGCGAAUCAGCAUGUGAACAAGGCUUUUCUGAUACAUCUUUUAACAAAAAUGAACACAGUGGAACACCACAUCAAAGUAACUGUCCUGCUCCAUCAGCGUGAUUGAAAUGGCACAAUCCGUGAUUUUUUUUUUGUUUGUUUUGUUUACUUUUGAAUGAAAUUCACACGUAACAAGAAAGCAUUUCUACUUAAGUCUGUUUACCCUGCACUUGACUCCUGAUUCAUGUGUUCUACAUUUUGGGGAGGAGCGGCAUGUCCGGCUUUUGGGCGACGUUUUUAGUCACCAUACCAAGUUUCUGCAACAAUAAGCAAGUGCUUGUUCCUCCUUGCCUCCUGCCCCUCCUCAUAUCAGCUCUGUGAUAGCACUGUCAGUGCCCUCAGGAUCUGAAUUCCUGGUGUGGGGGGGCGGGGAUGGGGGGGGUGUAAGCGUUUUAGGGUCAUAGACACAACUACCAGAAUGGGAACUAAUUCUUCCUCUCUGUUUAUAGACACUGCGUCAUUUGAAGUCUGCUUCUCUAGUCAACAUGGCAAGAUAAGUAGGAGCUUGCUCUCCUCGGCAGCUGGAGAGCUGCCUCCUCCCAGCACAACACUGCUCUCACUGAUUCCCAAUUCACGGUUUUGUUCCUACUUUGCUCCCCUCCCCCCAGCGUCUUCACUUGCCUUCAGGCCCCAGGCGCUCCUUUAAGCCAAGUUUUCUGAAUUUUUUGGUUCGAUUUCCCUUGCUGCCUGUUUGCCUCUGCCUUCCUCGGGCUUUGCGGUGCUCUCCUCGCCCAACCUGCCCUCCCCAACUGUCCCUGCCCUCCCCAACUGUCACUCCCCAGCUGUCACCCCCCAACUGCCACGGAAGGUUCCAGUGCUCCCCUUUCUCUCCCGGGGCAGUGCCCACCGGGCUGCCUCUGCCUCUGGUGCCUGAAAGCUGCCUGGAGACACAGCCACGUGUGUUACCUGGUCCCCCUGUGCCACUGGGGCGUUCCUGAGUCCCAAUGUCAGGUAGGACCUGGAAGAAUUUGUAGCAAGAAUCAAUAGCCAAGACUUGAAUGAGAGCUGAUCAAAACCAGAUAUGAGAUUUCCCUUUCUGAGAAGGUACAAGGAGAAGUUGAACCUACGAUUUGCUAAGGCACCAUAGGACACUCCUGGAAAAUUCAUCCUAAGCUAUAUUUGGUACGCUCACAGAAACUGGGGGUCCCACUCGAACCAUUCCAGCUCAGAUAUCAAUCGAUCAAUAAAUAAAUAAAUAAAUAUUUAAGAGAAUUGUGUGCUUCUGAGUCAUGUUUAGUUCUAAUAUGUGUCUUUCUAGGUGAGCUCCUGCCUCGGAGCAGAUUCAUCUUUAGCUGCAAUUCUAUAGGUGUGCACCUGUACUUUAUGUGUUAAAGUCCAUCAAAAACACACCAGACAGUGAAAUGCUAAUACUGAAAGCUUUUAGAACACAAAUGGCUAACAAGAGCUCUUCAGACAAGCUCUUCCCUGCAAGUUUGUUUUAGAAUAAUUACAGUUUCUUGCAGUUACUGGCUUUUAAUGAUGGGCUGUUGAGAUGUUUUUUUUUAGUUCCAUUAUCUCUGUAGAGUUUAAUUCUUGAAAUUUUAUCACCGUCUCGUAGUGUGAGUGUGAGAUACUCCACGUCAGUGCUGCUCAGUGCCUGCUGGAGUGCAAUUUUAAAAUGUAAUUUUUUUUUUUCUUUUCUCUGAUUUAUACCUAGGUAUAAAUUCAUAUUAUUGUCUUGGGUUCCUUCUCGAAAACUCACUGCAGCUUCAUUUGGGAUCUUAAAAUACGAUAAUUCUGCUUGCAUCCUCUGGACUCUCGUGGGAAUUUUCUCCCUCUGUGGCCAACAUUCACAGCAGCUUGAAGUUACUCUCAUUGUGGAUGGCAUUUUCCUGCAGUUGAAGACACCUGAGCCCAGUUCCCUCUCGAGCCUUAUCAGUGGCAGUGAUCACCAAGGCCUCUGUCUCAUCUUCAGAAGUCUCAGAUUCACGUUGUGCACACCCCAUGUUUCAGUUCUGUCGUUAAUCCCAAAUCCCCUUUUUGGAGAGUUUAUCUGAAUUAAUUUCGUCUUGUAGUUUUGCCACAUAGGUUUAUUUUGCAGCUGGGCCCUUCCUUAUCUUCCUUUUGUAGAUUCCUUCUCUGGGGAGCGGUUUCAUUAAAACACCUCGGAAAGCAUUUAAUUUAGUCUAAAAGUUGGUACUACAUUUGUUGGCAUUUCUGUCUGGCCUGUUUUCUGCUGACCUUUACUCAAAUGAUUAGGUACAUGCAUGUGUGCAUGUAUAUUUGUCAUGCUUUCUGUCUUGUUCAAGCUUAAUUUUACUCCCUCAAAACAAGCUUUUCUCUUGAGCUGAGUGCCCCAGCUGUUCCGUUAGGACUGUGACAAGUCUGCUCAUACGAGGCACAUCCACGGCACAUCUGAAUGAAAGUAAACAUCCUGUGUUCCUCAGCCUUCUAUAAACCCCAGCAGAUGGCUGCUGCUUUGACAAACCGUGUGGAAUAGGGUGGAUCACAUUUCCCAUGCAACAAGACUUAUUUCUGGAAAUGCAGACCCAGUAUAAUUCUUGAAGGUGGCAGCGUGGAUCCAACCACAAAGUGGUUCAGCCCAAAUCAGUCCCACGUGGUGACUCUUCGUAGCUCAGACCCUCUCGCUUUCUGGACUGGAUGCACAGUGGGGGUUGCCUUAAAUUGCUGAUCCACACAAAGCUGCAGGAGGACUGGUAGCAGCUUUCACCUGCAGGUCUUUGUUCAUCAGCCUCAAGGUCCUUUGUGUAAUACUUGUUAGAAUCUCGGUGUGUUUGGGUUUUUUUUUUCCCUGUGAUUAAGUAUUUUCUGGAGAUGGAUGGCAUUUCUUAGAAUUGACUGGAUUUUUCCUUAAUACUCAGAGACAGUCCCUGCUCAGGAUACUGGCAGGAUCUGCAGGAGGUGAUGUAUGUUUUCUGCACCUCAGGUAACACUCAGGAGACGUGUGCCACAGACAUAUGUCUUAUCCUGGUUCCCUGCAGCAACAGUUCACUGGUGUGUCUGUGCUUACCCCGGGCCUGGAAUCAAAGGCACU